UACGUAGGGGGCAAGCGUUGUCCGGAUUUAUUGGGCGUAAAGAGCGUGUAGGCGGUUCGGUAGGUCCGUUGUGAAAACUCGAGCUCAACCUCGAGACGCCGAUGGAAACCCCCGAACUAGAGUCCGGAAGAGGAGAAUGGAAAUUCCUGGUGUAGCGGUGAAAUGCGCAGAUAUCAGGAAGAACACCCGUGGCUAAGGCGGUUCUCUAGUACGGUACUGACGCUGAGGAGCGAAAGCGUGGGGAGCGAACAGG
rnacentral:rRNA from 1 species